AAUGAAGUGCCUGAUAAAAGGAUUAUCUUGAUAGGAUAAAUUAUAUACAUUUCCCUGUAUCUUCAUUA
rnacentral:tRNA from 1 species